rnacentral:rRNA from 1 species
CCCGGCGACCGGCGCACGGGUGAGUAACACGUAUGCAACCUGGCCGCCACAGGGGAUAACCCGCGGAAACGUGGCCUAAUACCCCGUGACGCCACCGGAGGGCAUCCUCCGGUGGCCAAAAGGAGCGAUCCGGUGGCGGAUGGGCAUGCGGCGCAUUAGCUAGACGGCGGGGUGACGGCCCACCGUGGCGACGAUGCGUAGGGGUUCUGAGAGGAAGGCCCCCCACACUGGGACUGAGACACGGCCCAGACUCCUACGGAAGGCAGCAG